UACGUAGGCAGCAAGCGUUGUUCGGAAUUACUGGGCGUAAAGAGUGUGUAGGCGGUGUUCUAAGUUUGUCGUGAAAUCUCCCGGCUUAACUGGGAGGGUGCGGCGAAAACUGGAAUGCUAGAGGAUGGGAGAGGUAAGCGGAAUUCCACGUGUAGCAGUGAAAUGCGUAGAGAUGUGGAGGAACACCGAUGGCGAAGGCAGCCCCCCUGGGCUGACACUGACGCUCAUGCACGAAAGCGUGGGGAGCAAACAGG
rnacentral:rRNA from 1 species